rnacentral:rRNA from 1 species
AACGAACGCUGGCGGCGUGGAUAAGACAUGCAAGUCGAACGAGAUUACUUCUGGUAGCAAUACCGGGAGUAAUUUAGUGGCGAACGGGUGCGUAACACGUGGGCAAUCUGCCUUAAAGUGGGGGAUAGCUCGGCGAAAGCCGAAUUAAUACCGCAUAUGAUCAGCCAGGACAUCCUGGCGAAAUCAAAGAUGGCGCAAGCUAUCGCUUUUAGAGGAGCCCGCGGCCUAUCAGCUAGUUGGUGAGGUAACGGCUCACCAAGGCAUUGACGGGUAGCUGGUCUGAGAGGACGACCAGUCACACUGGAACUGGGACACGGUCCAGACACCUACGGGUGGCAGCAGUCAGAAUUUUUCUCAAUGGGCGAAAGCCUGAAGGAGCGACGCCGCGUGGAGGAUGAAGGUCUUCGGGUUNUAAACUCCUGUCAUUUGGGAACAAGUUGCACACGUUAACUGCGUGGGCA